UACGUAGGGUGCAAGCGUUAUCCGGAAUCAUUGGGUUUAGAGGGUCCGCAGGCGGUCAAUUAAGUCAGAGGUGAAAUACCGUCGCUUAACGACGGAACUGCCUUUGAUACUGGUUGACUUGAGUCAUAUGGAAGUAGAUAGAAUGUGUAGUGUAGCGGUGAAAUGCUUAGAUAUUACACAGAAUACCGAUUGCGAAGGCAGUCUACUACGUAUUGACUGACGCUCAUGGACGAAAGCGUGGGGAGCGAACAGG
rnacentral:rRNA from 1 species